CACAACCCUCUUCGCUGCCCCAUGAACCAACUAUCUAUGUGUGUACUACCCAAAUUCACCAGCGCUAAGUAUAAUAUAAUUCGUUGAAAACUCUAACAAUACAUCUGUUUCGAUACACGUAAUGGGGAGAUACAGCAGAGUAGUCAAACACACGUUUUUUUUGGAAUCGCCAGACUGGAUUUUCUU